UUUCCGUAGGUGAACCUGCGGAAGGAUCAUUACCUAGAGUUUGUGGGCUUUGCCUGCUAUCUCUUACCCAUGUCUUUUGAGUACUUACGUUUCCUCGGUGGGUUCGCCCGCCGAUUGGACAAUUUAAACCCUUUGCAGUUGCAAUCAGCGUCUGAAAAACAUAAUAGUUACAACUUUCAACAACGGAUCUCUUGGUUCUGGCAUCGAUGAAGAACGCAGCGAAAUGCGAUAAGUAGUGUGAAUUGCAGAAUUCAGUGAAUCAUCGAAUCUUUGAACGCACAUUGCGCCCCUUGGUAUUCCAUGGGGCAUGCCCGUUCGAGCGUCAUUUGUACCUUCAAGCAUUGCUUGGUGUUGGGUGUUUGUCUCGCCUUUGCGUGUAGACUCGCCUUAAAACAAUUGGCAGCCGGCGUAUUGAUUUCGGAGCGCAGUACAUCUCGCGCUUUGCACUCAUAACGACGACGUCCAAAAGUACAUUUUAACACUCUUGACCUCGGAUCAGGUAGGGAUACCCGCUGAACUUAAGCAUAUCAAUAAGCGGAGGAA
rnacentral:rRNA from 1 species